rfam:Triticum aestivum genome assembly, contig: Triticum_aestivum_CS42_TGACv1_scaffold_173625_2DL
AAAGUACUCCCUCCGUCCCAAAAUUCUUGUCUUAGAUUUGUCUAGAAGCAGAUGUAUCAAGUCACAUUUUAGUAUUAGAUACAUCCGUAUCUAGACAAAUCUAAGACAAGAAAUUUGGGAUAGAGGGAGUAGUUG